rnacentral:rRNA from 1 species
UACGUAGGGUGCGAGCGUUGUUCCGGAAUUAUUGGGCGUAAAGAGCUUGUAGGCGGUCUGUCGCGUCUUGCUGAUGGAAAAUCCGGGGCACUCAACCCCCGGAUUGCAGUGGGGUACGGGCAGACUAGAGGUGUGGUAAGGGGAUCGACGUGGAAUUCCGUGGUGAUAGCGGUGAAAUGCGCAGAUAUCAGGAGGAACACCGAGUCGGCGAAGCAG